rfam:Calocera viscosa TTFC12733 unplaced genomic scaffold CALVIscaffold_29, whole genome shotgun sequence.
GGGCAUGUAGCUCAGCGGUAGAGCGCUCGCUUAGCACCCUAUAUUUGAACAAGCUGCGAGAGGUCUUGGUUUCAAUUACCAACCUGUCCA